rnacentral:rRNA from 1 species
UACAGAGGCCUCAAGCGUUGUUCGGAAUCACUGGGCGUAAAGGGUGCGCAGGCGGCUAUCCAAGUCAGUGGUGAAAGCCCGGAGCUCAACUCCGGAACUGCCAUUGAAACUGUUUAGCUUGAGGACGAGAGAGGUGAGUGGAAUUCCCAGUGUAGAGGUGAAAUUCGUAGAUAUUGGGAAGAACACCGGUGGCGAAGGCGGCUCACUGGCUCGUAUCUGACGCUCAGGCGCGACAGCGUGGGGAUCAAACAGG